rnacentral:rRNA from 1 species
UACGAAUGGAGCAAGCGUUGUUCGGAAUCACUGGGCUUAAAGCGUGCGUAGGCGGACAUGAAAGUCAGGAGUGAAAUCCCGGGGCUCAACCCCGGAAUUGCUUUUGAAACUCCAUGUCUGGAAUCCGGGAGGGGUUAGUGGAAUUCCGAGUGUAGAGGUGAAAUUCGCAGAUAUUCGGAGGAACACCAGUGGCGAAGGCGACUGACUGGACCGGCAUUGACGCUGAGGCACGAAAGCGUGGGUAGCAAACAGG